rnacentral:tRNA from 2 species
GGAGUACAUAGUUCAAAAGGAGAAGAAUACGUCCUCAGCAGGGACGAGCUGCAGGUUCAAAUCCUGCGGUACUUCC